AGCAAGAAAUGAGUGAUACCAAGCCGCUUACUACAAGUAAGGGCUGAUUACACCGAUUCAGGAACACAGAAGGUUAAAAGGCUAUGGCUACAUCACAAUGCUUACAUCAUUCACCUCCUGUCAUCUCAUCACAGAGACAUUGCAACAUCUCCCAUCGCAAGAAGAGAAUGUGGAUAAGGAGAGACUUGGCAACCACCCGAAGCACAGCAGCGCCAGCUGAAGCGCAGCUCACCGACAGGCAGCAGCUGCAUCCCUAGUUGUGCUGGUGCGGGUCUGGAGCCAAUGAAUUCCAGGCACUGGCCCAAGUGCUCGAUACAUGAAGGUGAAUCAGACCGUGAGCUGGUCCUCAAUGACGUGCAGAGAAGCAGAAGGGACAAGAAUGCAAAUACAUUAUUAUAAUUCAGUUAUGAAAAAAUGUAUUGUGGAGCCCUGCUCUAGAGACAGCA